rnacentral:rRNA from 1 species
AACGUAGGAGGCAAGCGUUAUCCGGAUUUACUGGGCGUAAAGCGUGUGCAGGCGGGGGGUCUAGUGGUGUAUGAAAUCGCCCGGCUUAACCGGGCGGGGUUAUGCCAGACUGACCACCUGGAGGACGGGAGAGGGGCGUGGAAUUCCGGGUGUAGUGGUGAAAUGCGUAGAGAUCCGGAGGAACCCCAGCGGCGAAGGCGGCGCCCUGACCCGUACCUGACGCUCAGACACGACAGCAUGGGGAG